rnacentral:rRNA from 1 species
GACGAACGCUGGCGGCGUGCUUAACACAUGCAAGUCGAACGGAAAGGCCCUGCUUUUGUGGGGUGCUCGAGUGGCGAACGGGUGAGUAACACGUGAGUAACCUGCCCUUGACUUUGGGAUAACUUCAGGAAACUGGGGCUAAUACCGGAUAGGAGCUCCUGCUGCAUGGUGGGGGUUGGAAAGUUUCGGCGGUUGAGGAUGGACUCGCGGCUUAUCAGCUUGUUGGUGGGGUAGUGGCUUACCAAGGCUUUGACGGGUAGCCGGCCUGAGAGGGUGACCGGCCACAUUGGGACUGAGAUACGGCCCAGACUCCUACGGGAGGCAGCAGUGGGGAAUAUUGCACAAUGGGCGGAAGCCUGAUGCAGCAACGCCGCGUGCGGGAUGACGGCCUUCGGGUUGUAAACCGCUUUCGCCUGUGACGAAGCGUGAGUGACGGUAAUGGGUAAAGAAGCACCGGCUAGCUACGUG